CCUANGGGAGGCUGCAGUGGGGAAUUUUGGACAAUGGGCGCAAGCCUGAUCCAGCCAUACCGCGUGAGUGAAGAAGGCCUUCGGGUUGUAAAGCUCUUUCAGCCGGAAAGAAAUCGCACUGGUUAAUACCUUGUGUGGAUGACGGUACCGGAAGAAGAAGCACCGGCUAACUACGUACCAGCAGCCGCGGUAAUACGUAGGGUGCGAGCGUUAAUCGGAAUUACUGGGCGUAAAGCGUGCGCAGGCGGUUUUUUAAGCCAGAUGUGAAAUCCCCGGGCUCAACCUGGGAACUACAUUUGGAACUGGAAGACUAGAGUGUAGCAGAGGGGGGUAGAAUUCCACGUGUAGCAGUGAAAUGCGUAGAUAUGUGGAGGAAUACCAAUGGCGAAGGCAGCCCCCUGGGUUAACACUGACGCUCAUGCACGAAAGCGUGGGGAGCAAACAGGAUUAGAUACCCGGNUANUC
rnacentral:rRNA from 1 species